AGCGAACGCUGGCGGCAGGCCUAACACAUGCAAGUCGAACGAACUCUUCGGAGUUAGUGGCGGACGGGUGAGUAACACGUGGGAACGUGCCUUUUGGUUCGGAAUAACUCAGGGAAACUUGUGCUAAUACCGAAUGUGCCCUUCGGGGGAAAGAUUUAUCGCCAUUAGAGCGGCCCGCGUCUGAUUAGCUAGUUGGUGAGGUAACGGCUCACCAAGGCGACGAUCAGUAGCUGGUCUGAGAGGAUGACCAGCCACACUGGGACUGAGACACGGCCCAGACUCCUACGGGAGGCAGCAGUGGGGAAUCUUGCGCAAUGGGCGAAAGCCUGACGCAGCCAUGCCGCGUGAAUGAUGAAAGUCUUAGGAUUGUAAAAUUCUUUCACCGGGGACGAUAAUGACGGUACCCGGAGAAGAAGCCCCGGCUAACUUCGUG
rnacentral:rRNA from 1 species